GGGUAGAGUAGCUCCCAGCUACUGUUAACAGGAUGAUCACUCGAGCAGUUUCUGCCCCAGAGAUCACCCAGCAGUGGCCGAAGAACGCGGAGGCUCACACUGGAGUCGGCCUGGCCAGGUUCACGUCAUGGAUACAGGAAUGAAUCAAGGUCACCCCCUGGAGGCGAAGUUGUUGCCUGCAUGAACGGGAGUGGAUGGAUUUGUUCUCAGGUCCUGGCUACUCACCUGAGAGCAGUAAAUACACAGUCCUUGUCUCCAGGAGGCUCAAUCCGGUGGAAAAGCGAGGCUGAAGAUACUCACACUUCCUAAGGGGUGGACACAGGCACAUACGGCAGACUACAGGCUCCUCGAUCCAGUACCCAGGCCUGGCUUGGUGACUGACAUUAGAUGAAACAAUAAAAGGAAGACCUACUGCCAGGGGACCGCUGGACCUCCUGGCUCCUGCCCGUGACCUGGCCUGCAGACCUCACACUGCCCCCACCCAGAGACAGGGGCCCAGUCCUGGCUCCUCACGGGCUUCUUCCUGCCCUGGCCUCUUGCACAUCCUGCCCUCACCUAAGGGACAUGCCCUGCUCCCAUCUGCUUAGUCUGGAUGCCACAUCUGGCUGCAUAUCAGCAUUAUCUAGUGAUGGCUCCAACGCAGAACAAUGAAAUCAGAAUCUCUGUGGGUGGGGCUUGGGGCCUGGACUCCCUCAGGUGAUCCCAAUAUGCGACCAGGGUUGAGCUACUAGGUAGCUCCUCCCCGUGUAGCGGGCCUAGCUGAAGUCCCAUUCCUCCAGGAAGCUUUCCUGGCUUACCCCUGUGAGGGUGACCAUCCUCCUCUGGGAGCCUGGGGGCCAUACAAGGAGCAGUCACUGGACACUGAUAACAGCCUGCUUUGUGUGAGGUAGUAAUUAGGAAACAGAAUCAAGGCUUCACACUAGCUGCAUAUCCUUGGUCAGGUUACCAAACUUCUCUGAGACUGUUUCCUCACUGGCAAAAUGGGCAUUAAUAAUAGUACCUACUUCACAAACUGGUAUAAGAUGCUUCCACUGACCAAUCCAACCUCAAGGACCCCACACCUCCCCAUGGCACCCCUACUUCCAAAACUAUAGGUCCCCACAAACCCAGAGAAUGAACCAUUUUCCAGGGAUCUCCAUCUCCAUCUCCAACCUACUUUCUCCUGCAACCUGCAUGCUGGGAGCAGCUUCUAGGCAAGUCAUAUCCAUCUUUACACUUCCUUCCAGGAAGACUUCUGGGCCUCCAGGUGACAAGGUCAGGUGACCUCUGACCUUGCGGGUGACAGUGAGAAGUGUCAGAGAGCAGAAAACCAGUGCACACAGACUCCCCCCACCCAGAAGGUAGCUCCUUUUCCUUAGGAUCUAUUCCAGCCAGACGGGCAAAGUCUGCUCUAUGGGCUGGCACGAGGGGCAGAGCUAGACAUUUAUGCAGGGUCUUCACUGUUGAGAAACCACUUCUAUGUGAUCCUUGUGAGAUGACUUCUCCACCUCUGCAGAUGACUUGACCAAGGUCAUGGUUAUCAAGUUCUAGGGCUAGAGCUGAGAGUAUCAAGAAACUAGGAACAAUAGAAAUAUUAAAAAACAGAGAAAUGAUUAAAUUCAUUAGAGUACAUCCAUAUUGUGGAAUACUACAUCAACUACUACAGUCAUAUUGGGGUGGGGGAGAGGAAUAAAUUAGCAGUUUCAGAUUAAAAUAUACAUACUACUAUAAAUAAAAUAGAUAACUAACAAGGACCUAUGUAUAGCACAGGGAACUACACUCAAUAUCUUGUAAUAACCUAAAAUGGAAAAG
ensembl:lncRNA